UACGUAGGUGGCAAGCGUUGUCCGGAAUUAUUGGGCGUAAAGCGCGCGCAGGCGGCCUUUUAAGUCUGAUGUGAAAGCCCACGGCUCAACCGUGGAAGGUCAUUGGAAACUGAAAGGCUUGAGUACAGAAGAGGAAAGCGGAAUUCCACGUGUAGCGGUGAAAUGCGUAGAGAUGUGGAGGAACACCAGUGGCGAAGGCGGCUUUCUGGUCUGUAACUGACGCUGAGGCGCGAAAGCGUGGGGAGCAAACCGG
rnacentral:rRNA from 1 species